rnacentral:lncRNA from 1 species
ACUGGGGUUGCAGAGAAAGUUGUUGGAAACAUAAGUAUAAAUUCUUCUUAUUGUCUAAAUUUAAAAAAUUUAAAACGUAUCUCAGCAUCAAAAGAUAAUUCUAACAAUUGUGAAAACAUUAAAUUCAUAUCUUUCACAGUCACGUCUGGUAAACCAAUUUUAUCUCAACAAAAUAUUUACUGGGACAUCUGAAAUUCUGUCAUCAUAUUGAGCUUUUCUAGUAUAAAAUAUCACAAAUAUAGACACUGUCGGUCGACUUCCCAUCAAUUAAUUGUCAAUAUGUGGUUUUGAUGAUAAAUAGGAGAAUGUAAUUGUAUAGUCAACUAAAUGAGAGCAUGUCUUGUUUAUUACUCGGAGCAAUGUAACUUUAUAGGUCUUUGGAAUGACAUUUCUUUCUGUAAGAAAUAUGUCUUCCGCUCUGCCAGGGGAGAGAGUAAAUUAUCUCCCUUGUAUAGUCAAUCAAAAUCUGGCAUUUUUAACGUGAAGCAUAACAAAUACAGAUAUCGCCUGUAAUAGUGCCUAUGGAAAAUAAGUGCAAAUAGGAAAGAAAUAGAAAUUAUGCCUCGCAACAACCCACCUACGACCACACAAAGAGUAGUUGCAAAGUUUGUAACGUCAAGAGGACGUGUAACUGAUACGACACGCUGAUUUAAUGUCACCAUUCCGACCGGCUACAAAUGGGUGCUUGAAGCACAACCAAACAAACAUCAGGGUUUUACUGCCGACCUGAGGAAAACUUAGAGUGACUGUAUCUCUAUUCCCAUAUUACACAUACUUCUUCGUACUAAAAUUGAAAAUUUGUCAUUACACGUUUAUUAUGAGUUUAGGAGAAUACCAAAACACUGAUGUAUUCAUACGUUUUAUUGGUGUGCUCGUUUUCAUUUAUGUCAUGGGCAGCUGUGGUGGAAAAGUCAUACCGGUGUCAUUUAAAUUGGCCUUGGUCCGAGACUGCCUCUCUUUUUUUUAUCUAUGACAUGACCUUCUAAUAUUUAACAACAAACCAGCCAUGAUAGUUUCGUUCAUAUGCCAAUGAGGGUUAGAUACAUAUUAUAAUUAGUUGGAAUUUUGUUCGUCUUUUCAAUAUCUCUUUAUUAUGCCCAAUUUAUGUGCAUCAUGUUUUAUGCUUUGUGCGUCCGUUCGUUCGUUGGUUCGUGCGUUCGUUCGUUCGUCCUUUCGUUUGUCCCGCUUCAGAUUAAAGUUUUUGGUCGAGGUAGUUUUUGAUGAAGUUGAAGACCGAUCAACUUGAAACUUAGUACACAUGUUCCUUAUGAUAUGAUCUUUCGCACUAUCAUUUUCUAUGUUCAGUGCAUUAGAAUUAAAAAGAUCAUAUCAUAAGGAACACGGAUCCCCCACUCGUACUAUCAUUUUUUAUGUUCAGUGGACCGUGAAAUUGGAAUGAAACUCUAAUUUGGAACUACAAUUAGAAAGAUCAUAUCAUAGGGAACAUGUGUACUAAGUGUCAAGUUGAUUGGACUUCAACUUCAUCAAAAACUACCUUGACUAAAAACUUUAACUUGAAGCGGGACGAACGAACGGACGGACGGACGAACGGACGAACAAACGAACGGACGAACGAUUUUUUGUUCUUGUUUGUCCCGCUUAUAGAUCUGUUCAAACACAAAUUUUUUACCAAAGUAAAGUAUUAUUUCUCUCGGCCUAAUAAUCACAAACUUUUGUAUAUACUACUAGCGUCUUGUUCGUCUCCAACAAUCAAAUUAUGUAAAUAUAGGAGGAAAAUGCAUGGAAUAUUCAAUAUUAUUUAGUCUAUUAAUUUUACAUGGUAUUGUUUUGUACUAUAUUUUUCUCUGCUGUCUGUCCAUGUUUUAUAUUAUGUAAUAUAUGUUGUUAAUUUUGCCAUGCCAUGUUUAUGAUUUUGCAGUAACGAUUCAUUCAUUCAACUAAGAAAAAUAUUUCUGUAUUUACAGCUUAUAAAAAGAGCAAACAUAAGCUAAAGAGAUCGAUAUCUGCAGAUACAGACCCAUAUCUUUUUCGUCGAUCAAAGUCGAACCGAAAAUUAAAAAAGCGUGCAUACACAUUGGAUUCAAGGAAUAUAUUGCGCAACUUUCAGUGGACACAAUAUGAAUUGGUGCAAGAAUCUUUGCUACGUACAGUCUCUUGUAAAAUAAAAAAAUGUGAAUCCGUAGACAGGCUUACAGAAAAAAUUGAAGAAAUAAAAACUGAAUUGAAAAAUCUUGUUGAGCAACCAUUACCCCGUCUGAAAAAAACAGUUGAAAAAGUCUUUAGGGAAAGCUGGAAAUGAAAACGACCAACACCAGAUAACAGAACGUAUAAUAACAGGUUUUAAUGGCAAUAGCGAAUUGAUUUUACGCGACGCAUACAAAACACUGUCGAAGUUGAAAGAAAGACGCAUUGAAGAUCUUAAUUCCAAACAAUCGGACACACCGCAUGUCAAAGAAUUUGCUUAUGAAAGAGAAAAAAUGACAACCAAAGACAUUGCAAAAAGAAUUAUGUCUUUAAUUUCUGAAAAGGUUAUUUCGUAUGUGACUACUUUAUUGCCUUUACAAAUACAGCAAGAAAUUAUAACAUUUACGUUUGAAUGUCAG